rnacentral:rRNA from 1 species
UACGAAGGGGGCUAGCGUUGCUCGGAAUCACUGGGCGUAAAGGGUGCGUAGGCGGGUCUUUAAGUCAGGGGUGAAAUCCUGGAGCUCAACUCCAGAACUGCCUUUGAUACUGAAGAUCUUGAGUUCGGGAGAGGUGAGUGGAACUGCGAGUGUAGAGGUGAAAUUCGUAGAUAUUCGCAAGAACACCAGUGGCGAAGGCGGCCUCACUGGCCCCGAUACUGACGCUGAGGCACGAAAAGCGUGGGGGAGCAAACAGGG